rnacentral:rRNA from 1 species
GGAGGAGCUUGCUUCUCUGGAUGAGUUGCGAACGGGUGAGUAACGCGUAGGUAACCUGCCUGGUAGCGGGGGAUAACUAUUGGAAACGAUAGCUAAUACCGCAUAAGAGUAGAUGUUGCAUGACAUUUGCUUAAAAGGUGCAAUUGCAUCACUACCAGAUGGACCUGCGUUGUAUUAGCUAGUUGGUGGGGUAACGGCUCACCAAGGCGACGAUACAUAGCCGACCUGAGAGGGUGAUCGGCCACACUGGGACUGAGACACGGCCCAGGACUCCUACGGGAGGCAGCAGUAGGGAAUCUUCGGCAAUGGACGGAAGUCUGACCGAGCAACGCCGCGUGAGUGAAGAAGGUUUUCGGAUCGUAAAGCUCUGUUGUAAGAGAAGAACGAGUGUGAGAGUGGAAAGUUCACACUGUGACGGUAUCUUACCAGAAAGGGACGGCUAACUACGUGCCAGCAGCCGCGGUAAUACGUAGGUCCCGAGCGUUGUCCGGAUUUAUUGGGCGUAAAGCGAGCGCAGGCGGUUAGAUAAGUCUGAAGUUAAAGGCUGUGGCUUAACCAUAGUACGCUUUGGAAACUGUUUAACUUGAGUGCAAGAGGGGAGAGUGGAAUUCCAUGUGUAGCGGUGAAAUGCGUAGAUAUAUGGAGG